CCUACGGGGCGCAGCAGUGGGGAAUAUUGGACAAUGGGCGAAAGCCUGAUCCAGCCAUGCCGCGUGUGUGAAGAAGGCCUUCGGGUUGUAAAGCACUUUCAGUGGGGAAGAAAGCCUUGGGGCUAAUACCCUCGAGGAAGGACAUCACCCACAGAAGAAGCACCGGCUAACUCCGUGCCAGCAGCCGCGGUAAUACGGAGGGUGCGAGCGUUAAUCGGAAUUACUGGGCGUAAAGCGCGCGUAGGCGGUCUGAUAAGCCGGUUGUGAAAGCCCCGGGCUCAACCUGGGAACGGCAUCCGGAACUGUCAGGCUAGAGUGCAGGAGAGCAAGGUAGAAUUCCCGGUGUAGCGGUGAAAUGCGUAGAGAUCGGGAGGAAUACCAGUGGCGAAGGCGGCCUUCUGGACUGACACUGACGCUGAGGUGCGAAAGCGUGGGUAGCAAACAGGAUUAGAUACCCCAGUAGUC
rnacentral:rRNA from 1 species